GACGAACGCUGGCGGCGUGCCUAACACAUGCAAGUCGAGCGGGGAGAGAUUUUCGGAUUUCUCUUUAGCGGCGGACGGGUGAGUAACACGUGGGUAACCUGCCUCAAAGAGGGGGAUAGCCUUCCGAAAGGAAGAUUAAUACCGCAUAAUAUCAGGAAGCUGCAUGGCAUUCUGAUUAAAGGAGCAAUCCGCUUUGAGAUGGACCCGCGGCGCAUUAGCUAGUUGGUGAGGUAACGGUCCACCAAGGCGACGAUGCGUAGCCGAGCUGAGAGGGUGAUCGGCCACAUGGGAACUGAGGCACGGUCCAGAAUCCUACGUGAGGCAGCAGUGAGGAAUAUUGCACAAUGGGGGAAACCCGGAUGCAGCAACGCCGCGUGAGUGAUGAAGGCCUUCGGGUCGUAAAGCUCUUUGAUCAGGGACGAUAAUGACGGUACCUGAAAAACAAGCCACGGCUAACUACGUGCCAGCCGCCGCCGUAACAC
rnacentral:rRNA from 1 species